CGUGCCCUUAGACGCCAAACGGCCUUUGAAGAUCACACUUCUUCGUGCUUCGCCAAUUCGGAUUCGAUUACAGAGAAAUUUCGAAGACUUCACGAACACUGCGAGAGAAGCAAACCCGCCUUGUAGAUACUCAAACUCUAGACUUUGAGUCAGAGAUGAGGUUCCCAAAGAAGACGAUGGAGGAUGAGAAAGGAAAAAAAGGCAUUGAGAUAUUUUGGUAUGUUGAUCAUGAUUUUAUUAUAUUGAAACCUCAGCAAGUAUAGAGUUUAAGAUUGACCGCC
rnacentral:lncRNA from 1 species